rnacentral:rRNA from 1 species
UAGGGAAUCUUCCGCAAUGGACGAAAGUCUGACGGAGCAACGCCGCGUGAGUGAUGAAGGUUUUCGGAUUGUAAAACUCUGUUCUUAGGGACGAACAAGUGGGAUGGACUCCCACCCUGACGGUACCUAAGGAGAAAGCCCCGGCUAACUACGUGCCAGCAGCCGCGGUAAUACGUAGGGGGCGAGCGUUGUCCGGAAUUAUUGGGCGUAAAGCGCGCGUAGGCGGUUUCUUAAGUCUGGUGUGAAAGGCCACGGCUCAACCGUGGAAUGGCAUUGGAAACUGGGAGACUUGAGUGUAGGAGAGGAAAGUGGAAUUCCUGGUGUAGCGGUGAAAUGCGUAGAUAUCAGGAGGAAUACCAGUGGCGAAGGCGACUUUCUGGCCUAUAACUGACGCUGAGGUGCGAAAGCGUGGGGAGCAAACAGG